rnacentral:rRNA from 1 species
GUGGGGAAUAUUGGACAAUGGGCGAAAGCCUGAUCCAGCCAUGCCGCGUGUGUGAAGAAGGUCUUCGGAUUGUAAAGCACUUUAAGUUGGGAGGAAGGGCAGUAAGUUAAUACCUUGCUGUUUUGACGUUACCGACAGAAUAAGCACCGGCUAACUUCGUGCCAGCAGCCGCGGUAAUACGAAGGGUGCAAGCGUUAAUCGGAUUUACUGGGCGUAAAGCGCGCGUAGGUGGCCAAUUAAGUCAAAUGUGAAAUCCCCGAGCUUAACUUGGGAAUUGCAUUCGAUACUGGUUGGCUAGAGUACGGUAGAGGGUGGUGGAAUUUCCUGUGUAGCGGUGAAAUGCGUAGAUAUAGGAAGGAACACCAGUGGCGAAGGCGACCACCUGGACUGAUACUGACACUGAGGUGCGAAAGCGUGGGGAGCAAACAGGAUUAGAUACCCGGGUAGUCC